UACGUAGGGAGCAAGCGUUGUUCGGAUUUACUGGGCGUAAAGGGCGCGUAGGCGGCGCGGUAAGUCACUUGUGAAAUCUCUGAGCUUAACUCAGAACGGCCAAGUGAUACUGCAGUGCUAGAGUGCAGAAGGGGCAAUCGGAAUUCUUGGUGUAGCGGUGAAGUGCGUAGAUAUCAAGAGGAACACCUGAGGUGAAGACGGGUUGCUGGGCUGACACUGACGCUGAGGCGCGAAAGCCAGGGGAGCAAACGGG
rnacentral:rRNA from 1 species